ACUUCAGUAGCAUCCGCCAUUGCAACUCAGCUAGAGCUGUCAAAGCUUAGACUGAAACACGCCAAAUGUUCUGUUGUUGGCUGCAACAACGAGCACAACAGUCUAUUUUCUCUCCCACCACAGGAGGAUAGAAGGAAUCAAUGGCCCGUUUUUAUUUAUGACAACCAGGUUCCUGCAGUAGCUAAUGCUAACGCGUUAAUCUGUGCUAACCAUUUUGCCCUUUACUGCUUCACCAACACGGGUCAGUUCAACGCUGGAUAUGCCUCCAAACUGAUUCUUAGGGUUGGAGCCAGACCCACUAUACUUGGCCAAGCUACAGCAAACGUGCCAUGAUGGGGAACUUCAUUAGCAGUGCCAAAGAAAGCAGGAUGAGAUGCAACAUCACCUUGCGAAGGUAGUUCGCACUCCACAGGAGGCAAACAACCUCUUUGUGGAAUUUCACGCGAGUGCUAUUGGGGCUCAGUGUGGAAUUGACAAAACCAUGAGCGCAAUUCUUCAACGUUAUUAUUGGCCUGGAAUGAAGUCAGACAUCACAAAAUGGAUAGCACAGUGUGAUGCAUGUCAGAGAAAGCGGGUCUCCUUAAAGGAGAAGACUCAGUAUAAACCCAUAGAGGUGUCAGAGCCAUUUGAACUUGUGGGGAUGGACCUUGUGGGGAAGUUAAAAUGCUCCAACAAUGGCCACAUGUAUAUGUGUGUCAUGGUGGACUACUUCACAAAAUGGCUUGAAGUCUAUCCUCUGAAAAGUAGCAGAGGAAGUGACUGAAUGUAUCAUGGACUUUUUUUUACAAGUACGGUGCACCAAAACGUAUUCUGACUGACCGGGGCAAAGAAUUUAUCAACAAAGCCAACCUGGACUUGUGUGAAAAGCUUGGCAUUGCCAGAAGCCUCUGUGCACCAUACCACCCACAAACAAAUGGCUUGGUGGAAAAGCUUAAUGGCACCAUUCAAGGAGCUUUGAAAAAAAUUGUGCAAGACCAUCCAAGUGACUGGGACUGUUACUUAAAGCCCACAGUGUUUGGAUUACGGACCAAAAAACAAAUAACAACAAGAUAUUCCCCAUACUUUUUAAUGUAUGGAAGGGAGGCCCGUUACCCAUCAGGAAUUCCAGAAAAGUUUCAGAUAAGUGAGGAACACAUCCAUGUAUUGGCUGGGAAUGAAGAAUGCACUACAAACCUCAAGGACGUGUAUGCCAAGGUGGAAGCCAACAUUGCAGAAGUACAAGAAAGGGUGCGGAAGAGGAAAUUGUCUGUAGGAGAAGAUGAUGGCUUUGCAGUGGGGGACCAAGUGCUCAGAAAAAACAUUCGGAAAGAGCAAAGAAAGGGGGGGUAACUGGAAUGUGAUCAAUUUGGUCCUUUUAGAAUCAGUAACAUUAAGGGUAAAAGUGCAGAUCUACUGACUAAAAAAGGAAAGACCAUUGAAAAAAUUAACAUUGAUCAUCUGAAAAGAUAUGUGGAGCCACAACCCAGAAUUCCUGCAAAAUGGAUUGCUGCAGCCUCCGCUGCAACACUGCCGUCCACCCCCUCCACAUGUUCCGUUCUACAGUCGCCUACUUCUCCUCCACUGCCGUUCAGCCCCUCCACAUGUGCUGUUCUACAGUCGCCUCCUUCUCCUCCACUGCUGUCCAGCCCCUCCACAUGUGCUGUUCUACAGUCGCCUCCUUCUCCUCAAACACUGCCGUCCAGCCCCUCCACAUGUGCCGUUCUACAGUUGCCUACUUCUCCUCAAACAUUGCAGUUCUCCACAUGUGCCGUUCUACAGUUGCCUAC